rnacentral:rRNA from 1 species
GUAAACGGCGGCCGUAACUAUAACGGUCCUAAGGUAGCGAAAUUCCUUGUCGGGUAAGUUCCGACCUGCACGAAUGGCGUAAUGAUGGCCAGGCUGUCUCCACCCGAGACUCAGUGAAAUUGAACUCGCUGUGAAGAUGCAGUGUACCCGCGGCAAGACGGAAAGACCCCGUGAACCUUUACUAUAGCUUGACACUGAACAUUGAGCCUUGAUGUGUAGGAUAGGUGGGAGGCUUUGAAGUGUGGACGCCAGUCUGCAUGGAGCCGGCCUUGAAAUACCACCCUUUAAUGUUUGAUGUUCUAACGUUGACCCGUGAUCCGGGUUGCGGACAGUGUCUGGUGGGUAGUUUGACUGGGGCGGUCUCCUCCUAAAGAGUAACGGAGGAGCACGAAGGUUGGCUAAUCCUGGUCGGACAUCAGGAGGUUAGUGCAAUGGCAUAAGCCAGCUUGACUGCGAGCGUGACGGCGCGAGCAGGUGCGAAAGCAGGUCAUAGUGAUCCGGUGGUUCUGAAUGGAAGGGCCAUCGCUCAACGGAUAAAAGGUACUCCGGGGAUAACAGGCUGAUACCGCCCAAGAGUUCAUAUCGACGGCGGUGUUUGGCACCUCGAUGUCGGCUCAUCACAUCCUGGGGCUGAAGUAGGUCCCAAGGGUAUGGCUGUUCGCCAUUUAAAGUGGUACGCGAGCUGGGUUUAGAACGUCGUGAGACAGUUCGGUCCCUAUCUGCCGUGGGCGCUGGAGAACUGAGGGGGGCUGCUCCUAGUACGAGAGGACCGGAGUGGACGCAUCACUGGUGUUCGGGUUGUCAUGCCAAUGGCACUGCCCGGUAGCUAAAUGCGGAAGAGAUAAGUGCUGAAAGCAUCUAAGCACGAAACUUGCCCCGAGAUGAGUUCUCCCUGACUCCUUGAGAGUCCUGAAGGAACGUUGAAGACGACGACGUUGAUAGGCCGGGUGUGUAAGCGCAGCGAUGCGUUGAGCUAACCGGUACUAAUGAACCGUGAGGCUUAACCUUACAACGCCGAAGGUGUUU